CAUUGUAGCACAAAUCGGGAGAACGAGUUAUACAAUGAAUUGGGUUUAUUACUGUGAGAUUGCGGUGCAGGUGCAUGUACUACAUCCCCAUAAUCAAUGAUUGGCAUCAGCAUUUGCUGUACAAUCUUUUCCUUUACUGUAGGGCUUAGGCAGGAUUUGUUUCUGUACAGUGCACCAAAUUUUGGUUAAAGUUUAGAUGCAAGUUUUUUCUAUGUGGAGGCCAAAAGAUAGAUUGGGGUCUAACAACAUACCCAAGUAUUUGAAAGAGUGGAUUGCAGUCAGUGUGCGAUUUGUAUUAGUUUUGAUGGAUAGGUGGAAAUUGUAUAAUUUAGGUACUGUUCCAAAGAUUAUUGUAACAGUAUGUUUUUUGAGAUCCACUUUUCUAC